GCCGGGCGCGGUGGCGCGCGCCUGUAGUCCCAGCUACUCGGGAGGCUGAGGCUGGAGGAUCACUUGAGCUCAGGAGUUCUGGGCUGCAGUGCGCUAUGCCGAUCGGGUGUCCGCACUAAGUUCGGCAUCAAUAUGGUGACCUCCCGGGAGCGGGGGACCACCAGGUUGCCUAAGGAGGGGUGAACCGGCCCAGGUCGGAAACGGAGCAGGUCAAAACUCCCGUGCUGAUCAGUAGUGGGAUCGCGCCUGUGAAUAGCCACUGUACUCCAGCCUGGACAACAUAGCGAGACCCCGUCUCUU
rnacentral:SRP_RNA from 1 species